CCCCCUCACCCGUGGAAAAAUCCUUAAAAAGGCCCUGACCAGUAAACCUAAAAAAACUAUUAAAUGUCUAUUUACAUAUUAAAUUUAUACUUCUGACAACAACACCACAUGUUGUUCAAUCACACAUGCGAUAGUGGACAUAGUGUAAUCGGGCACAAAUUAAACUAUAUAUAUAUAUAUAUAUAUCAAUUUAGAAUGAAAUCCACAGCGAU